rnacentral:rRNA from 1 species
AUACGUAGGGUGCGAGCGUUGUCCGGAAUUACUGGGCGUAAAGAGCUCGUAGGUGGUUUGUCGCGUCGUCUGUGAAAUUCCGGGGCUUAACUCCGGGCGUGCAGGCGAUACGGGCAUAACUUGAGUACUGUAGGGGAGACUGGAAUUCCUGGUGUAGCGGUGAAAUGCGCAGAUAUCAGGAGGAACACCGGUGGCGAAGGCGGGUCUCUGGGCAGUAACUGACGCUGAGGAGGGAAAGCAUGGGUAGCGAACAGGAUGAGAUCCCCUGGUAGUCCAUGCCGUAAACGGUGGGCGCUAGGUGUAGGGGUCUUCCACGGCUUCUGUGCCGUAGCUAACGCAUUAAGUGCCCCGCCUGGGGAGUACGGCCGCAAGGCUAAAACUCAAAUGAAUUGACGGGG